rnacentral:rRNA from 1 species
ACGGAGGGUCCAAGCGUUGUCCGGAAUCACUGGGUGUAAAGGGUGCGCAGGCGGGCUUGUAAGUCAGAGGUGAAAUCCCACGGCCUAACCGUGGAACUGCCUUUGAUACUGCAAGUCUUGAGUCCUGGAGGGGCUAUCGGAAUUCGUGGUGUAGCGGUGAAAUGCGUAGAUAUCACGAGGAACACCGGAGGUGUAGACGGAUAGCUGGACAGGUACUGACGCUGAGGCACGAAAGCGUGGGGAGCGAACAGG